ACGGAAGGCAGCAGUGGGGAAUCUUGGACAAUGGGGGAAACCCUGAUCCAGCCAUGCCGCGUGAGUGAUGAAGGCCCUAGGGUUGUAAAACUCUUUCGGCGGGGACGAUAAUGACGGUACCCGCAGAAGAAGCUCCGGCUAACUUCGUGCCAGCAGCCGCGGUAAUACGAAGGGGGCUAGCGUUGUUCGGAAUUACUGGGCGUAAAGCGCGCGCAGGCGGUUCUUCAAGUCAGAGGUGAAAGCCCAGAGCUCAACUCUGGAAUGGCCUUUGAGACUAGAGAACUAGGGUACGGGAGAGGUGAGUGGAAUUCCGAGUGUAGAGGUGAAAUUCGUAGAUAUUCGGAAGAACACCAGUGGCGAAGGCGGCUCACUGGCCCGUUACCGACGCUCAGGCGCGACAGCGUGGGGAGCAAACAGGAUUAGAUACCCUGGUA
rnacentral:rRNA from 1 species